AGACAGCACAAAGGGCACACUGUAAGCCUCAAGCCAUCUACACUGGUCAUAUGCCUCUCUGACUUUCCACGUCAGAGAGAUACUGCUGAACACGAGGUUGCGGGCUCACUCCGCGGCGGCGGAGGCCACCCUUAUGUAUAUGUAGGCGAAAGACAGAAACGCCCAUGUGCGUUGUUCAGGUGCGUGUAUUUAAAGAAACGUACGAGGUAAAAAUGAUUACGGAGGGCUCAAUUACGCCUUAACGCCAGUGUUAUAUUUUUGGGACGUGAAACAAGAUCAAUCAAUCAAUCAAUCAAUCAAUCAAUCAAUCAAUCAAUCAAUCAAUCAAUCAAUCAAUCAAUCAAUCAAUCAAUCAAUCAAUCAAUCAAUCAAUCAAUCAAUCAAUCAAUCAAUCAAUCAAUCAGGCGAAUAAGGACAAGCUUUUCAAUACUUAUGUUCGUCCACAACUAUAAUAUACGCAUCAUCAAUGUGGUAUCCAUGCCUGGUCACUUUAAUAAAUAAACUGGAAGCAGUACAGAACCGUUCCGCACGAUUUAUUCUGAAUAACUGUAACAGAACAGCCAGCGUUACGCAAAUGAAAGCACUUUAAAUCUGGAACUACUUUCAAUGCGUAUGAAAAUUGUUCAUACUUGUACGCUUACAUCAUAAACUAUUUUACGAUCCUACUCGCUAUCUUAUCUCUGUAUUGAACCAGCGGCUUUUAUUUCUUCGCGUCGAGAUCAUCCCCUCGAAGUCAAUAUAUCUCGCAGGAACACUAAAACUUAAGCCAACUCAUUCUCCGCAAAAAAAAAAAAAAAAAAAAAAAAACUUGGUAACGACUGGAACAGCUUUCCUUCCUCUUCCACCGGUAUUUCUGACCCUGACCUUUUCAGAGACUCGGUAACCAACUUAAUUUUGCCGUAGUUCUUCACAUUAUGAGUUGCUGUAAGCUUUUUGUUCACAUUGUACUGUUCUACUUGCCUUUCUAUUUUUUGCAUUGCCCUUUCCAUCUGAAAUGUAUACAUAGGUAUACCCGGAGGCUACCACGAAUAAAUAAAUAAAUAAAUAAAUAAAUAAAUAAAUAAAUAAAUAAAUAAAUAAAUAAAUACACUGUCUUUACUGUGCAGGGUGCCAUCUUUCUUUGGCCACAGUUGCGCGUGCUCGCAUUUCCCAGCUAGCUGCAUAUAUGGCUCACCUGUUUUCCCACGCACGCAGCGUAGUGGAGGAAAUAUCCCUGAAACCUCUUUGUUCGGAUGCUUACGGCAGGCCGCAGUGUCGUAUGUCGUCGCUGACAUCUUACACCACUCGACGCUGACGCGAGCGCUCCUUCCGGCGAGCAAGCAGCAGCAUCGCGAAGUCAUUUCGCAGUCUCUCGCGCAACUUCGACAACGCUGCGUAUGCUUCAAUAUCCUCCGAUGACGUCAAUCCUUGCCGCCCUCUGGUGCCUGGACAACGGUCUCGCCCUGACGUCUCCCCUGGGCUGGCUUACGUGGAGCCGGUUCAUGUGCAACGGGUGUGCACUGGGUCGCCACGAGAACUGCCUUACCUUAUUAUGCGUAACUUCGGCAUGGUUAAUAACAACAGCGUCAACUAGUGGCAUAUUGGGUCAUCAUGGCUACAUCGCUCAUCACGCUUAAUGGCCUGCGAGACGUACCACAGGAAUCCAAACAACUGCUUCUGAACAAAUGAACAACUUGGGUGUGUUGUCUCGUUGGGUGAUUUUUCAACUUGCCAACGAAGAGAAAUCUCUGACCGUGCUGGUCCACAACGCAAAGGGGCUGGGUGGUCCAGUCGAGGCAUCUAUCAGCCUUCUGAGCCUCGGCCUCAACAGUGUUACCGGUUACCUGGUCACCGACCUCGUGCGCAGCAACACCGUUGUAGGAAAGUUCUUUGCAGGAGAAAGUGUAAAUGCCAUCAUAGAGCCUAUGGAUAUUUUCCUUCUUCAAGGCGACUAUACUCUAAAUCGUGUUCACAGUAAAUCGUUACGAAGACGCCCCUGCUCGUUGAGCUAGUAUAUAAAGCUUUGGCUACUGAGUAUAGGUACAGCCGAUAGAGACGUUCGGCACAUGAUGCAUGUCGUCAACAAAUAAAAGGGCGAAGAGGAAACAGGGCAAGCUCUUCUCGAGCAUUUGUCGGCAGUGUAUAAUCCGACUGCUUAUAGCACCGCGUCACAGAGUAGUGUUAUUGCUGCGAAGCGGCGAUUUCUCUGUGUGCUUAUAAAGAGGAGCACACAUGACUAACUUGAGUAACAGCGAUCCAGACUUUACUAUCGGAAUGAAAUACUGCUUAGCUUAUGUCUAGACGACACAAGCGCCUUAUCGCUCGAAAUGCCGUG